AGGCUCCGCCGCCUCCACCGGGCACCCGCCCAGCGCGGCCGGGAGGGAGGGAGGGAGGGAGGGUGGUGCGCGCUCCCGGGUGCCUCGCGGUGCGCGUUCCCGCGCGGGCAACGCCCUUCGCCCCCUUACGCUGGCGGCGGCCGCGCGCUUGCCGCCUCCCGCCCUCUUCCCUCGGCGAACAAAGGGCGAAGGCGGGCGGCGGGCCCGCCGGCCCUGCAGGCUGAAAACAAGUCUGAAAGAGCCGCAUGGGAACAAAAAGAUGUGAAACUGAACCCACAAAUGGUGUUUAAGCUCAGGGCUGGGAGAAGCAGAGCCUCCGCACCACGUUAAAUGGGAGCGCUCCGGGCUGCAGACGAGGAAAGAGGCCACAGGCCUUAAAAUGCUGCUCACAAGAGGCUUGCAAUCAAUAAAUAGCUUCAUAUCUAGGAGCUGGGCCUGGUUAGUCUGGAAAGAGAAGACUGAGGAGGGAUUUCAUUAACGAAUAAAAAUUUUUCCAAGGCGUGUCAGAGGAUGGUGCCAGACUCCUCAACGAUGCCCAGCGACAGGACGAGGAGCAAUGACUGUAAACUAAACCAAGAGUUCUGCCUCAACAUGAGGAAGAGCUUCUUUCCAUGAGGGUAGCAGGGAGCAGCUGCACAAGGAGGGCAUGGAGUCUCCCUUUCUAGAGCCAUCCCAAAUUCAUAUCCACGCUAUUCCUAUUUCAUCUGCUCCAGACGGGACCUCACGUAAACCAGGCAGGAGAAAUAUUACCAAAAUGGAAUCAUUUUCCACUAGAACUCAUAUACUGAAACCCUAAUUAAUAUUGAAAAGUAAGUAGAGAUACAGUAUUGCAUCACUUUCCUUCUAUCACAGGUCUUAGUCUGGGGGUUUUCCCAGUAUUUGUGUAUACCCGACUAAAUUGUGAGAUUACUUGGCAUCCGAAGUAGGUUUAUAGUAAAACAACCCACAGUGUUAUAGACAAUUUUCAAUUAAAACCUAUCCAGCACAAGUACAUUGUAAUAAAAUAAACAAAAGAAAAAACAACAACACAAAAGGUUAAAGAGGCAGAUAUUUUUUCUGCACACUUCCCUAGAAUUUAAACUGAAGUGUUCCCUUCUGUAAUGCUUUCUGAAGGGAGGUAUGGUUACCUUUAAUUAGCAAAAGAAAGAGCUGGUUUGCCAACUAAACUGUAGGAAAGUAGAUUGGCUAUUAUUCCGGCUGUCUGUUAUGAAAAACUACUAGAUCCUGGUGUGGUUAAGGCUUUGAUUUAUAAUAAUCAAGUGUUUGUUUUUAAGUAACUUUUAUGAUGCACUAAAGCUUUAAUUCAUCAUCUUGAGAUUUACAAAUAACAAAAUAAGGAAUUUACUGAAAUUAGAAUAAAUUAUUCUUGAAUUACUGUCCCAAAUUGCUAAUAUAACCAUCAGGAAAUUUCUGUUCUACCCCUGAAAUGUGGACAGGAAUUAUCCUAUUAAAAUCUCAUCACACUGUAUGCAAAUGGGGGUGUCAGUGUUCUUGAGGCUAGAGAUUCAUCCAGCAUCCCCAUCUGCCUACAGAUUUCAAAAGCAGUUAUACACAAUAUUUUAGUCAUUAAAUUUAAGUGAGAUUUAUAAUAGGCAAGUUGCAUUUUUUUAUUAUUAUUUUUCAUUUUUUUAGUUAAAGAUUGCGUCUAGGCUUAGCAGAGAUUAAAAUAUCUUUUUGGGAAUACACCAUUUAUGUGGAAAAGAAUGACCGCUUAAUACAUUAGGCAAAAAAAAGGUACUAUAAAUAAAGGAUUUAAAAAAAAAAAAAAAAAAGAAAAUUCGUUGUUUUAAAAGGAAAAUUCUCAAUCUUAUGAUGUUUUGUGGAAAAUUUUCAGCUAGCAGUGGCUCAUACAGAAAAAAUCUGUAGUGAAAAAAAAAUUGAGAUUGAUAACAAAUAGAAAAUCACAUUUUGCUUCUUUGAGUAAAUAGCUGCAUUGAGUUUUUUUAUUCAACUAGAACAGUUGCAGUGUGAAUUAAUUAUAUAAUAAAUUACAUAAUUAUAUCAUUAUAAACCAAUGCAUGUUUUUUUUCCCAUUGCACAUUCUUAUCAUACAGAUCCUGCUUUUCCUCCUUAGAUUUCUCUUACAUUAUUUUACCAGUGGUGCAAUUCUAAUAACUAAACAUGGUUUGGGUUGUUUUUUUUUAAUAAAAUACACAUUCAGAUCUUAUCCUCUCCUAGGAAUCUCUAUUUUGUUCCUUGCAUUCUAAUUUUUAUGCAUUCUCUGUUUCAUGACAGCUAAAGGGAAUUUGUGUCCACAGGUCUGUGCUCUGCCAAAUGUUCAAAUCCAUGGAAUUUGGGUAAGGAAACUGGAUCAGUCAGAAGUAUUUAUGGCACAUUUACACACAGCCAAUGCUUUCACCGCACCUAUUCUUUUGUAGAACUACAACUGUUGCAAUAGUUCCUGUUUCUGACGCAGUGACUUAAUUAUAUAUUAUUCUUCAGUGAGAAGUUUGAUUGAUGUACAGUUACACUGCUAUUAUGGGGAGGUAUCCUGAGGAUUGAGAAUGGUUGUUUACAGAGGGGAGGUUGUUCCAGGUGCGGUGGGUGGGCUUUGGUUUGGUUUGUAAAUCUCACUUGACAAAGUUUUGCUGCAUUUUAAAACCUGUCAGAAGAAUCCUACAUUUCUGUGUGCCACAAUGUGGUUUAUUCUGCUGUCCUUGUAGAAUCCUGUGCUGGAAGCUGCUGUAUAGGCAUUUUCUUAUUUUUUGUAAUUUCUUUUUAGUUUUUAAUCUUAAUUUUUCACGAGAUCCAUGAAUUGCCAUAGUUUGUACUGUUCACUGGAUGAAUGCACAAGUCCCUAGAAUUAAGUGGACUUACCAGAUAGAAGUUCAUCUGUUUCUAUACACUGCAAAAAUACUGUUUGUAACUAAAAGUUUAGUUGAAAAUACCUGUGAAUACUUGAAGAUUUGGUAUAGAUAAUUAAUAAACCAAAUUUUAAUGUUAUUUUGUUAGUCCACUUUGAAGUUACAGUUUUGGUCCUGGGUUAGAGCUACAGAAAACCUCUCUGUAGAAAGGUUGCUCCACAAUUCUCCAUUGCAAAAUUUCUUUCACCUUUUUCUCAAUCAGCUGACAUUAACCCCUUUGUAGGGAGCAUCCUGAGUUAGGUGAAGCUUUGGGCAGUUUCACUUCUUAAAGUAAUUAAAUUUUUCAUACAAAUACCACUGUUAUAAUCAAAAUUUACAUGCUACCUGAGUGAAAAUACUGCAUGAUUCUUAUGGUAAAUCAAGAUGAUCCUGGUCUCUGAAACAAUAACUGUUAUCAAACAGGUAUAAAUUAUGCUUUCUACAAAAGAGUGAAAAAUCAGCACUUCUCAAAAUUGCAAAGCUCCUCAGAUGGUAUAAGAAUACUGCUUAAGUAAUAAUUAUGUUUUGCCUCCUUUCUUUGUAACCUCAGGUAUGUAUUUUUAAUAGACUAGCUCAAAGCUCCACCUCAUAUUCCAGAAUCACGCCAUUUCCCAUCCCAUAACAUUUUGUCUGCCUUUGUAUCCUUUGAUUCUGUGAACCCUGGAGAGAGCCAAGGAGACAAUCACGAGAUUUUGAAUUAUUUUGAAGUUCUCCAUUUGGUCCCUAAAGCAAAGCAGAACUCUCAUUUCUCCCGACAUUGCAUCGAAAUUAAAAGAAUUAAAAGAAACCUAUACAAUGUCUAAACUUCA